GGGAAUCAGAAGGAUCACUCACAUUAUCUUCUCAGGACCGGAGUCAGAGAUGGGAGAUGGAUUAUUGGAGGUUCUGAACAAAGUCUGGUUCCUCACACUGGAGCAGCCUGCACAGCUUUAAAGCCAAAACUAAGAGACGACAAACCUCCAUAGCAUUAGAAGAGGAGGGAUCCUGCUUCCUGCCUGGUGGUUACAUAUUGAGCCUCAAGGCCUUUCUUGACAUCAUGGAGUAGUGGCCACAACAGACUUUGAAGCCAAAC
rnacentral:lncRNA from 1 species